AUAAACUAAACAGUUUGAAAUAGUAGGAUAAUAUUGUCCAUAAAAUGCAUUUGUAGCAACUUCAAAAUGUUCUAAAAAAUCUAUAAGAAUUUUAACAUUAGUUCAAUCUUGGGUAGUAAGCAUUUCAUCAUCAUCCUCACCUCCUACCCGAGAAUUAAACGUAGCAUCAGUUGGGUUUCUAUAUUCAUAUGCAACUACUAAACUUUCGUACAUACAAUUCCAUCUAGUCGGGCAAGGUUUAGGAACCUUUCUUUCUCUAAG
rnacentral:lncRNA from 1 species